rnacentral:rRNA from 1 species
CAGCAGCCGCGGGAAUACGUAGGGCGCAAGCGUUGUCCGGAAUUAUUGGGCGUAAAGAGCUCGUAGGCGGUCUGUCGCGUCUGGUGUGAAAUCCCGAGGCUCAACCUCGGGCUUGCAUCGGGUACGGGCAGACUAGAGUGCGGUAGGGGAGACUGGAAUUCCUGGUGUAGCGGUGGAAUGCGCAGAUAUCAGGAGGAACACCGAUGGCGAAGGCAGGUCUCUGGGCCGCAACUGACGCUGAGGAGCGAAAGCAUGGGGAGCGAACAGGAUUAGAUACCCGUGUAGUCCCUGUCUCUUAUAC